UACGUAGGGAGCAAGCGUUGUCCGGAAUCAUUGGGCGUAAAGAGCGUGUAGGCGGCUCGGUAAGUCCGCUGUAAAAGUCCAGGGCUCAACCCUGGAAAGCCGGUGGAAACUGUCGAGCUAGAGUCCGGAAGAGGCGAGUGGAAUUCCUGGUGUAGCGGUGAAAUGCGCAGAUAUCAGGAGGAACACCAAUGGCGAAGGCAGCUCGCUGGGACGGUACUGACGCUGAGACGCGAAAGCGUGGGGAGCAAACAGG
rnacentral:rRNA from 1 species